CAGUAACACCGAUCUGUGGCAGAGAACAAACCAAGUCCCAGUCGAAGAGGAGAUAUUAGAGCGAAGAUGGGGGUGGAUAGGGCACAUUCUACGCAAGCAACAUCCCAACAUCACAAGGCAAGCACUAUCCUGGAACCCCAAGGAAAGCGCAAGAGUAGAAACACAGGGUGGAGAGAUCUGGAAGCCGACACCAAAACAAUUGAAAAAACUGGAACGAAUUGCGCAGGAUAGAGGGGCCUGGAAAAAUCUUGCGUGUGGCCUGCGUCCCAAAAGGGGUAGUACGCAUAAGUAAGUAAAUUAAGCAAGUAUUUCUGUAAUGAAGUUGAUUCAGUUUUGCUGAUUUAGCGUUUUGUAUUUUUCGUUUGUUUUGGUUUUGAUGCGAAUGGGUUAUCGUAAGAGUGAGUCGGGUGUGAGUUAUUUUUAGUUGCUAGUAUAAAAGAGACCGGUUUGGCUGGCUGUAAGUUAGAUAGGGCACGGUAACGACAUCAGCCGGGUGCCACGUUGACAGGUCCUAGAAGUCAGGGGAUGGUUAUCUUACUGUCAUAUUUUAUGUAGGACAUUGGGAGAAAUAUAACUACUGAAAUAGGAGUUUGUUUGGAGGGCACAUCUUUUUCCUAGCCUUGCGUACAUGGGUGUUUAACAAAACCAGUUUCAACCCGAAGUCAGGCAGAGAGUUGCGGGAUUCAGAUAUACGGAGGUCCAUGCGGAUAUUGUGCUACAAUAUGAAAGGGCGUCCUGUAGCUCCGUAGAGAAUAACCCGAGACUUGGGAAUCAUCGGAACCCUGGUAUAUUGUCAGGAAUUGACGAUAGAUCGUGCAAGGCUUGCAUGGUGGUGGAUUGUUUUCCAUUCUGGGCGUGCUUAUCGCAAGUUGGCGGGAAACCGGAAUAGUAUCUUCAGAGUGCAGAUUAGUUACAUUAUAAAGUUAAAGUAACUCAAAAUUUAGAAACAACCCCAAAGAAUAUUAUAUUACAGAAAAGGAGAAUUGAAUAUUGUAACUUUUUCUAAAUUAUACUACUUUUGAAUAUUGUUUUAACUUGAAGAGUUAAUACCUGUAUAUUUGCUUUACAUCUGAUACGUAUUAUCGAACUGUUUACAACGUAUCAGAUAUUUAUAUUGCCAAUUGCUUAUUCUUUGUGUUGAGAGUGAAAGGAGUGAGUGUGCAUAUUUUUUUUUUUUAGAUAUAUUAUUUAAACAAUAAAUUUGUUCUUGUUUA